CUUUUUAGUUUUCAUUUUGACAGCUGGUGCAAUUGCUUUGCAAUGGAGCGCUGAGUUACCACCAAUACCACUUAUAUUCGGUAACAAAACGGGAUGCUAUAUAAAAGAAAUGCAUGAUGUGAUUAACUUCAACGAAACUGUUCCCGUUCUUGGAUAUUGUUACGUAGUCCAUUGCACUGUCCAUGAGAUUGAAUAUUUGUCGUGCGGUUGGUCUUCUUAUGAGAACGAUACAAGGGACUGUAUGAUCAUUGAAGCAAAAAUGGAUGAGCCUUACCCUAAAUGCUGUCCACAAGUCGUCUGCAUAGACAGAGAUGUACCUUGGUUAAAUAAGAAUAAAACAGAUACUUAUCGUAAAACAAAAGAGAUCGUAUGGAAACUGUAA
rnacentral:lncRNA from 1 species